CCACACCUCCCCUGGCUAUGACUGACAGAGCCUGCAUGAAAAAAACUGAUUUCAUUUUCAAAUCAGAUGUAACUUUAUUUAAAGGGAUUCUCCAGUGCCAGGAAAACAAACCUGUUUUUCCUGCACUAGAGCAUUCUGAAGUGCCCCCUCUCUCCCACCCCCAAUCCCAUGUCACUAAAGGGGUUAAAUGGCCACACUCGUUGUGGCGGCACCAGCCUCGCCACUGGGCAUUGGAGAAGACUGAUUGCCAGCCUCUUGCCCUGUGACUAUGGCCCCAUGUUGAAAUGCUUGAUUUUCCCCUGCAAAGACCCAAAAGCCGGGUCAUUUGGUGCUUGCCCUAUUUGAACAGUGAUACCCCAGAUAGCUAUGCCAUGGAGCCCAUUCGUAUAACGAAAGACUUUGGCUCCAUGGCAAUUGAACUGUAUGUGUGUGAUCUGAGCGCCAUUCAGUAAUAAUGUGCUCUCAGAUCUAAGCUAUCUGGG